rnacentral:rRNA from 1 species
UACGUAGGGUGCGAGCGUUAAUCGGAAUUACUGGGCGUAAAGCGUGCGCAGGCGGUGAGCUGUGUCCGAUGUGAAAGCCCCGGGCUUAACCUGGGAAUGGCAUUGGAAACUGGCUCGCUGGAGUGUGGCAGAGGGGGGUGGAAUUCCGCGUGUAGCAGUGAAAUGCGUAGAGAUGCGGAGGAACACCGAUGGCGAAGGCAGCCCCCUGGGCUAACACUGACGCUCAGGCACGAAAGCGUGGGGAGCAAAACGG